CAUGCAAAAAGACUCUCUAUAUCUGAACAGAGAGAAGACGCAGAGAAAUCCACGAGCGCGGUUUGUGAUCCGCAGCGUGUGUUUAAGGUGGUGUUUUUGGGAAACUCUGCGGUGGGAAAGAGCUCCUUCAUCCAUCAAUACUGUAGCGGUCACUUCCCCAAUAACCUAGCCUCCACUGUGGGAAUGGAUUUUCAGGUCAGGAGUGUAAUGAUGGACUCCACCCCUGUGGCUCUGCAGCUGUGGGACACCGCAGGACAGGAGAGGUUCCACAACCUCACGCAGCAGUAUUUCCGCAAGGCAGAUGGAAUCAUUGCUAUGUAUGAUGUCACUCAACAGUCAUCAUUCACGGCUGUCCGUCAUUGGCUGGAUCAAGUGCAGG